CUGACGCUCAUGGACGAAAGCCAGGGGAGCGAAAGGGAUUAGAUACCCCUGUAGUCCUGGCCGUAAACGAUGAACACUAGGUGUCGGGGGAAUCGACCCCCUCGGUGUCGUAGCCAACGCGUUAAGUGUUCCGCCUGGGGAGUACGCACGCAAGUGUGAAACUCAAAGGAAUUGACGGGGGCCCGCACAAGCGGUGGAGUAUGUGGUUUAAUUCGAUGCAACGCGAAGAACCUUACCAGGGUUUGACAUCCUGUGAAUCUCUUGGAAACAGGAGAGUGCCUUCGGGAACGCAGUGACAGGUGGUGCAUGGCUGUCGUCAGCUCGUGUCGUGAGAUGUUGGGUUAAGUCCCGCAACGAGCGCAACCCACGUCUUUAGUUGCCAGCAUUUAGUUGGGCACUCUAGAGAGACUGCCGGUGAUAAACCGGAGGAAGGUGUGGAUGACGUCAAGUCAUCAUGCCCCUUACAUCCUGGGCUACACACGUACUACAAUGCUACGGACAAAGGGCAGCAAGUUCGCGAGGACAAGCAAAUCCCAUAAACCGUGGCUCAGUUCAGAUCGUAGGCUGCAACUCGCCUACGUGAAGGCGGAAUCGCUAGUAAUCGCAGGUCAGCAUACUGCGGUGAAUACGUUCCCGGGCCUUGUACACAC
rnacentral:rRNA from 1 species